GAUGAACGCUGGCGGCGUGCCUAAUACAUGCAAGUCGAGCGAACGGACGAGAAGCUUGCUUUUCUGAUGUUAGCGGCGGACGGGUGAGUAACACGUGUAUAACCUACCUAUAAGACUGGGAUAACUUCGGGAAACCGGAGCUAAUACCGGAUAAUAUUUUGAACCGCAUGGUUCAAAAGUGAAAGACGGUCUUGCUGUCACUUAUAGAUGGAUCCGCGCUGCAUUAGCUAGUUGGUAAGGUAACGGCUUACCAAGGCAACGAUGCAUAGCCGACCUGAGAGGGUGAUAGGCCACCCUGGAACUGAGACACGGUCCAGACUCCUACGGGAGGCAGCAGUAGGGAAUCUUCCGCAAUGGGCGAAAGCCUGACGGAGCAACGCCGCGUGAGUGAUGAAGGUCUUCGGAUCGUAAAACUCUGUUAUUAGGGAAGAACAUAUGUGUAAGUAACUGUGCACAUCUUGACGGUACCUAAUCAGAAAGCCACGGCUAACUACGUG
rnacentral:rRNA from 1 species